UACGAAGGGUGCAAGCGUUAAUCGGAAUUACUGGGCGUAAAGCGCGCGUAGGUGGUUCAGCAAGUUGGAUGUGAAAGCCCCUGGGCGUCAACCUGGGAACUGCAUCCAAAACUACUGAGCUAGAGUACGGUAGAGGGUAGUGGAAUUUCCUGUGUAGCGGUGAAAUGCGUAGAUAUAGGAAGGAACACCAGUGGCGAAGGUCGACUACCUGGACUGAUACUGACACUGAGGGU
rnacentral:rRNA from 1 species